rnacentral:lncRNA from 1 species
UUUAAUUAAUUGAUUAUAAUUUUAUUUAAUUAUUAUAAAUACCAAUAUGGAUAAUUACAUUAUCAUUAGUAUUUAGGGUUUCUAGAAAUAGCGUAAACGAUACUAAUUCUUAAAUCCUAUACCCGUUAGUGUUUAAGGUUAGGGUUUAGGAUAACCAUUUUAGGGAACGUGUCCAUUGUCCUAAUUGGGUUUAAGGUCUAGGGUUUAUGGUUUCUAGGAAUAAUGUAAACGAUACUAAUCCUUAAACCCUAAACCUGUUAGUGUUUAGGGUUAGAAUUUAGGGAAACUGUCAAGUGUCCUAAUUGGGGUUUAUGGUUUAUAGGAAUAGCGUAAACGAUCCUAAACCCUAAACCCGUUAGUAUUUAAGGUUAUGGUUUAGGGUAACAAUUUUAGGGAAUGUGUUCCGUAUACAAAUUGGGGGUAUAGGAUUUAUGAUUUUAGAGUAAUAACAUAAACGAUACUAAUCUGUUUAGGGUUAAGGGUAAAAGGUUUAGGGUUUUAGAGUAAUGUUAUUAGGGAACGUGUUCAGUAUAGAAACUAGGGUUUAAAAUAGAGGGUUUAUGGCUUCAUGGAACUAAGAUUUUAGGAAUAGCACAAAUGGUACUAAUCCUAAAUCCUAAACCCAAAACAAGUUAGUGUUUAGGGUUAAGAGCUAGGGUUUAGGGUUUAUGGUUUAGAAUAAUGUUGUCAGGGGACGUGUUCAGUAUACAAAUUACGGUUUAAGGUCUAUGGUUUAUGGUUUAAAGUAUAGCGUAAACAGUAUUAACUUGAAAAGCCUAAACCCUAAACCUACUAGUGUUUAGGGUUUAGGGUUUAAGGUUAUGGAGCUAGAGUUAGGGUUUAUGAUUCAAUGUUUAGGGUAGGAUUUAUGGUUUAUGAGAACUUAUUGUAUGACUCAUAUCUACAUUCACUUAAUUGUCCAAAUUGUAACCUNN